rnacentral:lncRNA from 1 species
CAAAACCAUCACCUGCAGGAGGUUACUUAGAGCUGGCUCCUGUCCCAACACCCUCCUCUCGGCUUCCCUGUUCACAUCGCUGCAGCCUGCACAGCUGCCUGCCUCCCAUGGAGCCUGGGGGCACCUGUCCUAAAGGCCUCAAGGAUGAAGAGUCGCGGAGGGUGGUUGUGGCCAUCUCACCCACCUCUCCCUUGAUUCCUCCAUGUACUCACACAAGACCUGGAAGGCCAAGGACACUGACACUCAGAGAAAGCUAAGGGAGUGGGUACAUUACAAAAGGAUUGGGAGAGGGGGAGUGGUAAAAACUCCACAGCUCACAUUCAUUGACUCAGCUCAUCUUUCAAGGCCCCAGUUCUCCUGAGUCAUCAGUGAGCAUGGCCUUGCUUUCAUAGUCACUAAGGCUGAAUGUGGGUCAUUGAGAUCUAAACUGGUGUUUAAAUGUAACCACACAGAGGUGAGUCAGACACACACAAGGAGAAAAAGAGCAAAAGAGAGAGAGAAGAAAGAAGGAGAUUUAGCUCUCUCUUAAGUGGGGGUGAAAAUCCAGGAGCGAAUCUGAAAUGACCCACCUCUCCAAAUCCGUCCACUGUUUAAUUAGCUCCAUGUAGCUAUAGGGAAAUUGAGGCAUAACUGCUGUGUCCACUAGCCCAAAGCUGUUCCAGGGACAGCAGCAACCUCAGGAGGAGGCCAGAGAUUGGCCAAUGGAAAGGCAGAAAGCAGGGACUCUCCACCCAGGUGGAGGCACCACAGGGCCCGUGGAGGGAAUGGACAGCUGGCAUUACGGUCCCCCUACCUUUUUCCCAAGACUCUUCCAGCUGACCUACUAAGGCUGCCCCUUGACCUUGAGUACAAAUGGCACUCAUGCCCAAACAGCCGCUUGACCAGAGCCAACCGACAACCUCCUGUGAGUUUCUCAGCCCCACGCUGGCUCUGCAGGAACAUGAAGGAGAACCCACCUCUGCUGCUUUUGAAGUGCAGUGGCUUUCACUUGGAAUGGACAUCUUUACGGGUGGCACCGGGGGCUGUGCAGAGAGGACCAGGGAGAAAUUCCAGACUUCUCAGGUUCUGCCUCUGAGACAGACAGUGGUGGGAAACACAAACAAUAAAAAUCCUUGGUUCCACUUUCCUCAUCCCUUCCGGGCAAAUGGAAUCAAAUGAGGGUGAGGGUGACUGGGGAAUAAAGCAGGGUGAGUGAAGAGAUGGGGGACUGCUCUUAGAAGCAGUGUCUGAACUCCACCCCCUCCAGGAUGAACUGGAAAGUGCUUCUUCUCCUCCCUUCCUUGACUGAUGGCUAUGGGAACUUUAGAUGGGGAAAUACGGAUAUACUGAUCUCUCAACCAAAUGUAAUUUGUAUUAAGAAUUAA